ACGCUAGCUACAGGCUUAACACAUGCAAGUCGAGGGGAAACGGCAUUAAGUGCUUGCACUUUUUGGACGUCGACCGGCGCACGGGUGAGUAACGCGUAUCCAACCUUCCCAUGACUAAGGGAUAACCUGCCGAAAGGCAGACUAAUACCUUAUGGUCUUCACUGACGGCAUCAGAUGUGAAGUAAAGAUUUAUCGGUUAUGGAUGGGGAUGCGUCUGAUUAGCUUGUUGGCGGGGUAACGGCCCACCAAGGCAACGAUCAGUAGGGGUUCUGAGAGGAAGGUCCCCCACAUUGGAACUGAGACACGGUCCAAACUCCUACGGGAGGCAGCAGUGAGGAAUAUUGGUCAAUGGGCGAGAGCCUGAACCAGCCAAGUAGCGUGCAGGAUGACAGCCCUAUGGGUUGUAAACUGCUUUUGUAUGGGGAUAAAGUCAAUCACGUGUGAUUGUUUGCAGGUACCAUACGAAUAAGGACCGGCUAAUUCCGUGCCAGCAGCCGCGGUAAUACGGAAGGUCCGGGCGUUAUCCGGAUUUAUUGGGUUUAAAGGGAGCGUAGGCUGGAGAUUAAGUGUGUUGUGAAAUGUAGACGCUCAACGUCUGACUUGCAGCGCAUACUGGUUUCCUUGAGUACGCACAACGUUGGCGGAAUUCGUCGUGUAGCGGUGAAAUGCUUAGAUAUGACGAAGAACUCCGAUUGCGAAGGCAGCUGACGGGAGCGCAACUGACGCUGAAGCUCGAAGGUGCGGGUAUCGAACAGGAUUAGAUACCCUGGUAGUCCGCACAGUAAACGAUGGAUGCCCGCUGUUGGUACUUGGUAUCAGCGGCUAAGCGAAAGCAUUAAGCAUCCCACCUGGGGAGUACGCCGGCAACGGUGAAACUCAAAGGAAUUGACGGGGGCCCGCACAAGCGGAGGAACAUGUGGUUUAAUUC
rnacentral:rRNA from 1 species